rnacentral:ncRNA from 1 species
ACAACUACGGCAUCAAAGACGAUCACAUAUCGUCGUAACCCUAACCAUAAACUAUGCCGACUAGGGAUCGGACGAUGUUACAUUUUUGACGCGUUCGGCACCUUACGAGAAAUCAAAGUGCUUGGGC